rnacentral:lncRNA from 1 species
UGAGUAUUCUCUUGAGAACAAAGUAGAAUCAAUAUUUUUCAGGGGAACACAAGUACAGAAAAAAUAUGUUGCAUUGCCAAGUUCUCCCCCUCCCAGGUUAAGACACCUGUUACCUUUGACUGGGCUCUACCUUCCUUCUUUGGUCCAGCAACAGGGCUGCCAUCUGGGAACUGACACUCGGGCUCCAAGUCCUCCCCAGGAACAGCCCCAGCAAGUCAUUUUACCCUCAGCUUCUCACUCUACAUGGGUGAGUCUCUUUGAGAACAUCUUAACGAAAUAUUCCCUCAUCACUGUGGACAAAGGAAUUUUUAUUGUUGGGGUAUCCCAGUAUUUUCAAGCUCAGGGAUUCCUCCUUUCUUGUUUCCCUUCCCUCUCAUUCCUUUCCCACCCUCAGCUCCUCUUUCAUGGCUGCAUCUUCUUACAGUGUUGCGGGAUAGGUCGGCAGCUGCAGCAGAACUUGAUUAGUGCCUUGCCUCUGAGCAGAUGCAUUUCCCUGACAGCAUCGAUCCUGGGUGCUUUCGCUUUGCAGGCAGCUCCACAGAGGAGGAGCUUGGACUGCAAAGGAGGUGGACUAUUGUCUGUUCAAGGAUGACCAGAAGAUGGCCCAUUUUAACAUCACAAAAGAGUCGCCUUGAGUGGCUUUCUCUUCCUGGCAUCGAGUAGAACUUUAGCUAAGACAUUAAUACUGCAAUUGAAAGGUCAUUACCAAGAACACCAAAAAAUGUGAAGAUUUUAUUGUACCAAAAGCAAAAGUUUCCAAUUGUCCUUUGUAGCUACCAAGAUGAAACUCUUUCCAGGUAUGUUUUUCCAGCUAUAAAAUGCAGACUACAACAUGGAAGAUUCAAGAACAGGUUCAAUUUGCAGCACAUAAAUUUACUAACUAGAUUUGAAAAUGCAAUUCAACAAUAUGAGGUGUAACCCUCCAAAUGAAUUCUGUCCCUUUUAGUCCUCCCUAAAUGAAACUUCAGAAUUCACAGACGGCACCACAGGAUAAUAAAAAUAGCAUAAAUUUAAAAGGUAGUCUCAGAUGGAAGUUCUGGCUCCUCUAAAUCUGAGAUCUAUAAAUUUGGUUAAGUUAUUUAACUUCUCUUAGCCUCAGUUUCCUCAUCUAUACAUUAAGAGUAACAAUAUUUCCCUUUCCGUCUGUUGUAAGGAAUAAAUUAGGUAAUUUAU